UUUUUUUUUGUUUAAUUCAUUCUUUUGAGAAGAAUCUGGGACUACUUGCAUGUUGGGUUUUUGAAAUUUAUUGGUCUUUUCUGUUGGUAUGUUGGGUCUAAGCUGAUUUUGCCUUUCAUGCUUUUUUUUCUUUUGUGUGUGUGUUUGUGUGUGUGUGAUAUUUAAAGGUUUUGGUGAAGGAGAUAAUAUAUGCUAUUCGUAACAGAUAAGCUUGUUUAAAAAAUGGUCGGAUUCUGCUGAGUAUAAUGAAUGUUGUUGCUUGAUAUGUUCUAUUUUGCUCCUGGUUAUUCAGGCCUAUAGCCAUUGUGUUGAAUUGGAAAAGAUAAUGUUGCAUAUAUUAGCCCAGAAUAUAUGGUUAAUUGCAUGCUUUGUAGGUUGAAUGGGCCUACGUGGCGCGAAUCCGGAUAUAGUCGGGCUCCAAUGCGGGUACCGGACACCGGGUGGGAAACCAAAAAAAAAAGAAAAGAAAAGUAAGCUGUAUUUAGUAUGAAUCUGGAAAUUAAUUCAUUUUCUAGCAACGAAACACCAAAAAAUAUUUUCCUUGAAAAAUAAAACAUCUUUCUUAAUUUAUGUUUUUUUCCGGUAGUCCAUUUGAAAUAAUUUCUAAAUUUAGAGUGUUGCAUAGUGAGACAAAGUUUCUUCUAAAACAUUUUCUAGAAAUCACACCAAACACAUCUUAAACGUUGCUUAUACUUUUUCUCGCUUGUUGUUUGCCUAAAUUGUAAGGAGAGGACAUAGUUAAAAUUCAAUAAUGCGUCCAUGCUAUGAGGUGCAAAGUGUUUCGAACAAUGUUGAGCACGUGUGAUGUCAUUUUGAUGUAGUUUCUUUUUUUUGGUUUUGCAGCAUAUAUGUCGUGUGGCUUUAGCUUCCAGUCAACGACUUUGCAAUUCGUGUUGUUUUAAGUUUGUUGCUGAAAUUUUCGUACCUUUCUGUAUAACCUUUACAAAGCUUAAUGAUUCGGAAAAAAGUGUUCUUGACUUACAAGCGAAAGAGGCAACCAAGUUCAGUGGAUCUUUAUCGGGAAAAUGGGAUUCCUAAUACACCUUCUGGAUGUCAAAAAUCAAACGGCCUAGCCCCUUUGCUGAAGAAAGAGGAGAAGUAUGAGAACCAUAGCAUUAAGGAUGAAAACAAAGACUUUGAGGUGAUAUAUUUGGUAUACAGUACUUUCCAUUUGGGCCUAGCCCCCUUUGUUGUGCUUGUGAUUGAGGUGUAGCUGUAGUAGUUGUUGUAUGAGGUCUUUGUUGCGGCUUGAUUUUCUUUGGAUACUCAUGUUCUAAGUUAUGUUGUCACAUUUAUAAAUGAAACCGUGGCAACGAUUCUGAAUCAAAACUUAAUCUACAUUUGGUCCCUCUCCUAGUUUCUGACUUACUAGUGAUUCUUGGUAAUCAAUAAACACAGAUGUGUAGUGUGGUGCAUGAGUUAACACUUGUGUCUCUUGCUUUCAGAAGUACAUUUUACAAACUGUAAACUAUAUGAUUCUUAGCUGCCAUUCUACAAUGUCCUUGUUUUUGACCUGUCAAAUGUGAUACUUCCUUUGUUACAGUUUAUGUGAACCUAUUUCCUUUUUGGUCCGUUCCAAAAAGAAUGACCCCUUUCUAAAUUUGGAAACAAUUUAGCUUAAACUUCCAACUCUAUCCUUAAUGAGAAGCAUUUAUAACCACACAAAUACUCUGGACCUCUUUUUGACUUGUUUAGGACCACAAAUUCUAAGGACCCGUUUAGCCAUAGAUUUUGCCAAAAUAUAUUUGGUUUUUUUUUGGGCAAAUACAUGUUUGGCCAUAGAUUUUAUCUACAUUUUGGCAAAUUCCCAAAAUCCAAUACUCAAAUCCCAAAUCACGAUUACAUUUUUUAAAAAUUGCCCCAAACUUUUGUAUUUUAUAAAAGAGCCCACAAUUUAUUAUUUUGUAACAAUGUUGGUUCGUCUUCUCGCUCACCUGAUAGCGUAUUAUGUAGUUCAUUAUAAAAAUGAUAAUUGUAUACCACAGGACUAUGAUUUGCGAUAAUAUACUGAAUGUUAUUGAUAAAGGUACUGUUUUUAGAACUUGUGGGUACAAGUCAUGUUUCGUGUUUUUCCAAAAAAAAAGAGUAAAAUAUGAUUUGAAAACUUAUUCCAAACACAUUUUCAUCUUUAAACCAAACUUCACCCAAAUCAAAAUUUUCAAAACAAAUUUGGGAAUCUAUGGCCAAAGGCUAGCUAAAAAACUUCAUUUUUCUUAAACUCCGUGCCCAAUCAAACAGGUUCACAUAAAAUGGAACGGAGGGGGUAGCUUAUUUGACAGCUCAAAUAGCCAUCUGUUGAUUGGCUUAAUUAUUAGGAAAAUAUUUGAUUCUGAUUGGGAAAGAUUUGAUUCGGAUUAAGAUUUGACUUUAUUCUGAUUGAUUAUAAUUUAUUUCCCUUCCUAAAAUAGUCAAUAGUACCUAGUGUAUAAAUACAUUUGCUUAGGGAUGUAAGAAAUAUACAGAAAUACAAGAAGCCUUUUCUUCUUCUCAAAAUCUACAUGGUAUCAGAAACAUUGCUGCCUUUUUGAGGUGAGUUAUCUCCCUUGCAACACUAGGGUUCCGUUUUUAUCAAAGAGGUCGAGUUUUCUCUCGUGAUGGUUGUCCGCAACACAAACUCCUCCUGGUCAGUUGUUUUGGAAUUUCCUUUCUAUUAGGGUCGCUGGAACAUUCCUAGCCUAUCCCUACAAGUUUUGAUUUUUCCGUUCACCGGAGUUAAGGUUCCGUUGAGACAAAUUUGGUUUUUGGCGAGACAGAUUAUUUUUGAGCAAUUUUCUUCAGAUUUUCUUUUGAUUGGGUGGAAAAUAUGGAGACAUUCAAGGAGACGAUUUCUGGAGAAAUCUUGACUUCGGAUGAAAUUCAGCUUCUCUAUCGCCUCCUAGUCAAACUUGACUCCGCUAAUGUUGCCACAUUCAAUUAUGUGCAAUCUGGUACCGCCUUUGUUGCUCACCUUAAUUUUUGGAUUGUUGAUUCUGGUGCAAAUAGACACAUAACAGGCUCUUCUAAAGGCAUUCAAAACGAUUAUUCGUGUCUGAAAGGGGAUAAUGUCAAAAUAGCCAAUGGUUCUUUAACACUUAUCUCUAGAACAGGUUCUGUCGUUUAUACUCCUAAUAUUAAACUAUCAUUCGUACUCCAUGUCCUUGAGUUCCUCGUCAAUCUUUUAUCUGUUAGUGCCAUCACCAAAGCUCUGAAUUGUAAAAUCGAGUGCUUUCCCGAUCCUUGUAUUUUCUAGGAUCUUCAAACAGGGAAUAGGAUUGACAAUAAUAGAUUGCGUGAUUACUUUAUAUAUUAGAUGAAAUUCAAAACUCUGGUCAAGUCUUCAUUGGGUAUUCUUCCACACAGGAAGGUUACAAAUGUUAUCAUACUCCUUCUAGGAGAUCUUUUGUAAGCAUGGAUGUUACUUUUCGAGAAUCUGAGCCCUAUUUCAGUAUUAUCUCAUCACCUCUUCAGGGGGAGAGCAAUAAGGAGGAGGAGGUGAUUCUACCUAGUUCCAUUACUGAACCUCUUAAUGACAUUGCCACGAGGGAAAGUGAAAUUGGAGAAAGAAUUCAGGCGGAGACUAUUGGGCGUUUGGAUAGGCCUGAUUUGAAAACUCACUCAAGGAGAAAUAAAGCAGAAGAAGCCAUCAUGCAAUCUACCGAAGCUGAACCUUCUUCUACUUGUAAGUAAUCUACAUUUCCUAAUGAGUUAGAUAUGCUUAUUGCUCACAGAAAAAGGAGUCACAUCUUCUACCACCAAACACUAUUUAUCUAAUUUUGUCUCCUAUAAUUAUUUGUCUCCCUUCUAUAGAGCCUUUGCCUUGUCUAUUCCCCAGAAUUGUAGGGAAGCUUUUGCAGAUCCUAAAUAGAAGUAAGCUAUGAUUGAAGAAAUGAAGGCCUUGUCAAAAUGAAGAAAUGAGACUUGUCACCUCACCACCCGACAAGAAGUUGGUUGGCUGCAAAUAGGUCUUCACUGUGAAGCACAAAGUUGAUGGGUCGAUUGAAAGAUUCAAAGUAAGAUUGGUGGCUAAGGGAUCCACUUAGACUUAUGGAGAGGAUUAUCAGGAGACAUUUGCCCCUAUUGCUAAGAUGAACACUAUUAGAAUUCUUUCGUCUUGUGCAACUAAUUUUGAUUAGGACUUGCAAUAGUUUGAUGUGAAUAAUGCAUUUCUUCAUGGGGACUUAGAAGAAGAUGUGUGUAUGGAAAUUCCUCCUGGAUUUGAUACUGCACAAAGUCAAGGAAAGGUAUACAGAUCGAGGAAGGCCUUGUACGUACUGAAGCAAUCCCCAGAGCUUGGUUUGAAAAAUUCAACAAAUCAAUCAUCUCCUUCGGUUACCAACAAAGCAAUGUUGAUCACACCCUCUUCAUAAGACAUCAAAUGGGUAAACUCACUCUUCUUAUAGUAUAUGUUGAUGGCAUAGUAAUGACAGGAGAUGACAAAGAGGAGAUGGCCCGAUUGAAGAAGUUGUUGGCACAUGAAUUUGAGAUCAAGUAUCUAGGAAAAUUGCAGUACUUCUAGGGAAUUGAGGUUGCUAGAUCAAAAAGAGGAAUCUUUAUUUCUCAAAGGAAGCAUAUUUGGAUCUCUUAAAAGAAAUUGGUAUUAUAGGUUGCAAACCAGCAGAAUCGCCCAUUGAAAGUAAUCACAAGUUACAAACAUGAGUUGGAGAGCCAGUUGAUAAGGAGAGAUAUCAGAGGUUAGCUGGAAGACUCAUUUAUCUCUCUCAUACAAGACCUGACAUAGCCUAUUCAGACAGCUUGGUGAGCCAGUUCAUGCAUGAUCACCGAGAUCCUCAUAUGCAAGUUGUCUUUCACCUUCUGCGGUAUCUGAAGUCUGCUCCAGGCAAAGGUCUGCUUUUCUCCAAACGUGGUCACCUUCAGGUAAAAGCCUAUACAAAUGCGGAUUGGGUAUCUUUAAAUGAUAAAAAUCUACAUCCGGUUACUAUACAUUCGUAGGAGGGAAUUUGGUACUUGGAAAAGCAAGAAACAAAGUGUAGUUGCUAGAUCAAGUGCGGAAGCAUAAUAUAGAGCUCUGGCCCAGGGUGUCUAUGAACUUCUUUGGUUACUAAAAAUUACUUGAGGAAUUGAGACUGUCUGAAAAGCGGAAACUUUCCUUAUAUUGUGACAACGAGGCUGCCAUCAAUAUAGCUCAUAAUCCGGUCUAGCAUGACCGAACAAAGCAUGUCGAAAUUGAUCGACACUUCAUCAAAGAAAAAGUUAUGGGUGGUGUCUUGAGCUUGUUUCAUGUGUCAUCAGAAAAGCAACUAGCUGAUGUGUUUAUAAGGGUCUCAACAAACUGACUUUUCAUAUACUGGUUUGCAAGUUGGGCAUGUGUGGCAUCUUUGCACCAACUUGAGUGGGAGUGUUGAUUAGCUUAAUUAUUAGGAAAGAUUUAAUUAUGAUUGAGAAAGAUUUGAUUUUGAUUGAGAUUUGAUUUUAUUCGGAUUGAUUGUAAUUUAUUUCCCUUCCUAAAAUAGUCAUAGGGCCUAGUGUAUAAAUACAUUUGCUUAGGGAUAUAAGAAUUAUACAUAAAUAGAAAAAGCGUUUUCUUCUUCUCAAAAUCUACACCAUCCAAUUUCUCUCUCUCUCCCUCUCACCUUUCUGCUUUAUGGAAACCUUUUACUUGUUAUUACUAGUGACAACUAGGAUGAGGAGUAUAUGAGGGUAAAUUCAAGAUUUCAUACUAAAAUAUAUCUGCUAAAAUACUAAAAUAUACCACGUGAUAGACAUGGUAGACAUGGUUGUCAUAUAGAGUUCUUUUUUAACAUACUAAAAUAUACCACGUGAUAGACAUGGUAGGGGUGGGUACAAGCUUAACUCAAACCCACUGAAACAAAAGUUAAAAAAGAACUCUAUAUGACAAGGUGUAAGCUUAGAAGUUAGUCUGAAAAGUGUGACAGCAUAGACUCUUGCAGAAUAUUUAUAAAUAAAAUUUGAUUUUUAAUUUUUGUCAAAAAGACAGUUUUUCAUAGUUCUAAAGGUUAUUGCUAUCUUAUACAUGGUCCCAAAGGGGAUGGAGUAGUGGUUGAAGUAUGGGAGUGACAAGUUGCUGGUCCCAGGUUCAUAUCCUGGCUAAAAUACUUGUGUGGGCUGAUUUGCUCCAAUAUUGGUGAGCAGGAUUUCUUUGGCAAUCUUAUGCUUGUGGGUUGGACAAGUUGCUGAUGAAUAGUUGAGGAGCGUGCAAAUUGAUCUCUAUUGUGCGUAAUAAGCAAUCACUUGUUGAGUUUGUAUCCAAUGAAAUAUGCUACUAGCAUCAUACAGGGCGUCAUAAACUUAUGUUACUUGAACUUUUUUGAAUAGGGUGAAUACAAUCUUCUCCCUCUUUUGUCCUAUUAUCUAAUUAGUUCUGAAGAUCCAGUCAUCCCCUUUAUUUCUUGAACUUCUAGUAUUUAACUUGCAAAGCUCUUGUGAGAAUUCUUUGUUCCAUCAUGAACAGAUCUGUGGACAGGAGACAGCCUUGUUAAUCUAAAGGGAGAACAAUUCAUAAACAAAAGCUUGUUGAUAGGAUUCAUAAAUUUUUUCCUGGGCCUUUGUGGAUAGUGUGAGAUCCAUGUUGAUUAGUCAUUUAGCUCUUUCUUCUCAUGUCAGCCUGGCUGGAGGAAAUUCCUUCAGUUUUUGAAUUGCUCCUCCUCAGACCUCCUUCCUUUACUCUCACUUGUACCUCUGCCAAUCCUGCUGCAUCAACUUCAUCUGUUCGUUCUUCUUUCUUUCCCUUCCCUGCUGCCCAGUUGUAGCAUAACUGGACCACCAUAAUCCCUUUAAAGCUCUUCAAGUUUGAUGAGCACCAUGAAUCCCUAUGCACAUUUCCAAGCAUAAAAUAGUUAAUAAUUAGGACUGGAUUCUUUCCAAGCAAGCAAUGUUGCCAAAAAAUUCCUUCUGAUGACAUGACACUCCGUGAUGGAAUUGUAAGUUGUUUCACGGAUUUCAGCAACUUCUAUUCCAUUGAGUGAUGGCUGGAACAAGACUUCCUGCUUCAAUUUUGAUCACCUGAGCAUCUGGUAGCUCGUAGCUUUUCUCAACGCAGAGCUACUCUUUAUAGCCUCCGACUCUUGCUCAAAUUCAAGAGCAACAUAUGCUAGCUUCUCUUUCACAUUGCAUACAAUUUCCUGCGCAACACUAGUACUGAAUGGAUACCCUCUCUUCGUCAGGAUGAUCAAAUAAUCAGGAAGAUCACGAUCAACAAGAUUCAGUAGAUUGCAUGGAAAGGGCAUAACCUUCAUAAAUUGGCACACACACACUCUCUCUCUCUAUAUAUGUAUGUAUGUAUGUAUAUUUUGACAUAGUAACAUGGUGACUCGAACCUCCAAAGGGGGAUUUCCACUUGAGCUACCCUUUCUUGUAAUUGGUGCUGUGUGUUUCAUACCAUCACUCGAAUGAAGAACAAUACCUGAUGUAUCACUGCUGGCAUAAAGAGACAGCACUGGCUGAAUAACGUGCAAGGUAGGUAGAUUGAAAGUUUCAAACAUGAUUUGGGUCAUUUUCUCUCUAUUAGCCUUGAGAUUCAGUAAGUAGAAAAAGGUAGUGUAGGGAGAACCCAAGGGUGGCCUAGUGGUCAAUGAACUAGGAGGAUAGCCAUUAGAGGUUCAAAUCCUAGCUAAGGUAAAAUCCCUCCGUCCCAUUUUAUGUGACAAUGUUUGAGUAGGUACGGAGUCUAAGAAAGAAAAAUUUGUGAAUAAAAUAAGCUAUAAACAUUUAUGUGGUUAUAAUUCAUCCCAUCAAGAUUAACAUGAGAAAGUAUAAAGUUAAAUUAUUUCUAAAUAUGAAAAGAUGAUGUUCUUUUUGGUACAGACUAGAAAGGAAAGUCUGCCACACAAAUUGGGACAGAGGAGUAGUUGAUUCUUCCCUUCUGUCUAAUUCCUGGUGCCAGAGUUACCUGAUAAGUGUGCUGUUGGGAGGUAGCAAGUACUCGAUGGAAUAGUCGAGGUACGCAUAUGCUGGUCCGGAUACUCACAAAAAAAGUAUAGGGUUGUAAAGUGUGAUACCAGAUUUUCUUCAUGGCAUCCAAUUUCUUACUAUGUCCAGCAAUUUACACAAGCAGAGAUCCUUCUCCAUGCGUUCCUAACAUUUUCCUCAAUAUCUGUAUCUUCCAGCUUGCAAAAGCACCCUUUACUUAAAAGCAUAUCUAAUGAACAAUGGAAGGGACAUCAUCUUCCAUUGGUUGGAAGAUGUUGUGAGAAGCUAAGGUUGAUCCUCUAAUCCAGACACUAUACUUCCUUUCAUGAGGUGUCACCACCUUGAUCUUCAUGCUGCGGAGCAAGGGCAGUUAUUUCUUUGCUUGUACGAUCAGCAAUACCAGGAAACAACUUGGAUCCACCACUGAGAACAAUUUUUCCAUAAGGAUCCUUUCUGAUAUCAACAUCACACUUCAUGAUGGAAUUGUGAGUUGUAUCACAGAUUCCAGUAGCUUCUAUUCCAACUGAGUGAUGGCUGGAACAAGACUUCUGGGCAUCUAAACCUCUCUGCUCCAAUUAUAAUCACCUGGCUGCCUGUCCAUCUGGUAACUCGUAGCUUUUCUCAACAGCAGAUAUGCUAGUUUAUAUGUCACAUCUCUGACAAUUUCCUGCUCAGCACUAUUGGUGAAUAAACACUGUCUCGUUGUUAGGACCUUCAUCAAGAUCACGAAAGAUCCAAUAAAUACUGUUAGUCAGUCGAACUGAGCACGAGGGAUGGAUUUUGAGCUUUAAUGUGGCUUUUGGUGGCAUUGUGGUUUCUAUUGAAAGAAUUUUCUUCUUGCGUCUACAUGAUUAUGAUUCCGGAUGUUAAAGGUGUCUUAGUUGUUAACUUCCUAAGUUGCUUCAUUGCUGUUAUCUUCGCAGGAUAAUUCUGAAGAAGCUCACUCUUCAAAGGAUUCCAGAGGGCCUAUCUCUGAAGGAGAACCGAGGAGUUCAGAAAAGAGAUUAUGUUCUUGCAUUACGUCAGGUUGUGGAUGUGAUAGUAAAUGCACCCAGAAGUUUUCACUUUCCCCGUUGACAGGAUUGAAUACUUCUAAAGAACAGGAUUUGGUCACUCCAAAUUCUGGUGUCGAGAAGAGAUGCAAUUUUCAGUACUGUGAUACCUCUGAUUUGGGAAAACUGAGUCUGGAAGAAGCUGACACAGUAAGAGACAUAUCUCAGAGCCUCUCUGUAAAUGCAGUAAGAAAAAGCAAGUUGGCCUCCGCUCUGAUUACUUUCCAGCGGAGAGCCAAGCGGGACAAGGAUGCAGGUCAAGCAGAUGCGAAGUUCGAGCUUAAAGUUGAAGAUGUUGCUUGUUUAUCAGUUAAUACUGCGUGUCCUGUUGCUCCUCAUGGCUCUGAAGAAUCAGUUGCUAAGAGCUGCUCUAUGGAUCGUUCAGCAGAUUUUAAGCAUCCGAAGGUUAAUCCUUAUCCCAGGACAAGAUACUUAUUGUUAGGAAUGAAGGAAACUUUUGUCAGUUGACUUUUAAAUUAUAUUUGAGAGGGAGCCAUAUUAACCUUAUUGAGAGUAAUUCAGAAACCAUCUGAAACCUAUUUUACCAGUUUUUGGAGAUCAAUGCUGAUGAUUCAUAUUUUUCCUGAUCAACUUUAUAGUGAUUUGAAUUCCUAAAUUAAAAGAGCAAAAAUGGCAGAUAAAAACUUAUGAAUAUAUUAUUCAUUUGUAGGAUAGUCAUAGUAUUUCUCAAGACUCUUACUUUGAAUACAUGAGUACAUGACACAAAUAUUUCUACUCCCCUUUCCUUCGAAUAUUACAAACUUUAUAUUCUAUAUUUCUUGUAUGAGUAGCUCUUUAGUUGAUGAAGUCAUACGUUUAACCACGAUCAUGCGGAUUAAAGCUAAAACUUUUAUCUAGUCUCUGCUGACUUUUGCAGUAUGGAGUAUUAAAUUGGUGUCUGGAUUUUAUUUUAUAUGAGGGCGCUUAGAUUUGAAGCUAAUAUUGUUUUAUUUAUUGUCUAAUUUGUUUUUGUUUUCUUUCUAUGAAUGUUUGGAUUUGGUUUUGGGAGACGACUUUUGGAUAAUUUCGAGAAUUUUUUGUGUUUAUUUCUAUUUUCAGAACCAUAAAAGCAAAGAAUAUUUGGACAAGAAAACAAAACCACUAUGUGCAAAAACAAAACAUUCUGUUUCUAUGUCCAGACAAGGCUCAAGUAAAAUUAGUUUCAGAAGGAUUAUGUAGGCAUAAUUGCUUUUUUGCACCUGCAAAUAUCUGGCCUACAGGUUCUGUAUUUUGAGAGACAAUUUCACUUUGCAUGACAAUAAACUUUCUGCGUCCUGUUCAAACUGGAUACAUUGUUUCUCCUUUUGACAUGUUAAGCUAUGUGAAGGCAUUGAUAACUCCUUCGGAACCUGCUUGCUGCUCAGCUCAUUUUUGCUGUCCUACUAAGACCUGAUGAACACAGACUUGUUGAUUAUUUCUAUUGGAAAAUCAUGUAAUUUACAAUGUUAACCAAGUCUCUUAUUUUGUUAUAGACAACCAGCGGAGGUGACCAUUAUCAAUGUUCUUGUGCUGGAUCAGCUUCGCGGAUGAAGAUGUAAGCUUAACUAUCUUCUACUCCUGCCUUAUGGUGAAGUGAGGAGACAGGUUUAAUGAAAGAUUUUUGUUUGGAAAUGUUCAUUCUUAUUUCCUGGAUUUUGCUUUUACAGAUUGAUAGAUGUUAAUGAACAGCCGAUCUCAGUCAAGGAAGCUUCACCAAUCGACAAAGAAGCUAUUCCAAAUUCUGGAAUAGGUUUCUCUGGUUUUGACAACAGUUUUGCUUCAGAUGCUGUCAAGGACUCAUCAUUUCGUACCACUCAGGACCCUUCUUUUGAUGCUUUAUCCGGAAUAGAAGGGCCAAUAUCGUCUCCGUUAGAGGCUGCGAGUGACAGAGGUUCCCGAGCUUUAGAUCUGUCCAUUCCUUGUGACAGUAUGUAUUUUUAUUUGGUUUUGUCCUCCUCGAAUGUAAGAUAUAUGUUUUUGUAGGAGUUUGUGGUCAUGAAUCUGUAUCUCAGUAUGCUUUUGUUUUAAAUUACCUUGUGCAGAUAGUGAUGACAAAAUCGACUGCAAUAGUAUGUCAGAACAGGCAUCUGAUGAACACCUUAUUCCAACGGCAGAAGAAGUUCAGCAGAACCCUCCUUGCUCCUUGAAUGAAAAUGUUUCUACGUUUUUACAGAAGGUGCCUUCUGAUAAAAGUUUGGAAUUACUUGACAACAAACAGGAGAAGAUAUCUCCAAUUCAAGCAGAGGUACCUGAAGCUGGUUGCUUACCUGGAAAAGCAACGGCUGAUUGUAGCGAGGGCAUUGCUUCAAUAAAUGAUUUACCGCAGGUAGAUAUAAGAGUGCAGUUGUAUAGAAACUGCUCCUCAUUAAAAGUCUCUACCAGUUUUCAGUAAAUCUGUGCUACUUCCAAUGAAGUGUCUUUGAUGUUUGAUUGAGAUGAAUUAAAUUGUUUGCUUUCAGCUUUUUCGGGAAGAGGGAACCUACAACUUUUUCCCAUUAGCAAGCACGCAGCAAAAUGAGAGUGCUCCUGUGAAUUCUAAAGGAGGAGGAAAAGUUUGCUCGUCAGAAGACAAGAAGCGUAGUGGGACUACUGUAGCGGAAUCCUCAGAUUUUCUUGGUUUGUCACUGCCAACUGAAUCCAUGGUCGGUGGUCCAGCUUUAAGCUCAAGCUCGUCACAGCUGGCUGAUAUGUGGAAUCAACCAAGGGAAAUUAUUCAAGGAGUUCCUCAGUUUCCUUUUGAUGCGUCAUUGCUUCAUCGGCAUCAAAUGAUCCUGGAUAACAUUCUUAAUAGAGCAAGAUCACAGAAGAGAAAUAGGAGGAGAUUUGCAGAAAUAUUUGAGUCUCCAACAAUGUGGUCAGAAGAGGAGCUAGACUCACUUUGGAUUGGUGUGAGGAGGCACGGAAGAGGUAACUGGGAAGUAAUGUUGAGGGAUCCAAGGCUGCACUUCUUUUCCUGGAGGACACCAAUGGAUUUGGCGGAACAAUGGGUGCAGGAACAAUCGAAACUUUUCCAUGGAAAAUCCAUUUCCCCUGUGGGACAGUUACGAAAAGCUGAUCUUUUGUUCCAUGGUACGGAUGAUGUUAGACUUUCACUGGGGCAUGCAUAUUUUCAGUCAGAGGACAUCCAGAGCCAAAUACCUUUCCAUUUUGGAAAUGUUCAAAAUACUUCGUCCAAACUACUUCACCUGGCUACAACAAACGUAGGGUCCUUAGACUCGCUCAGUCAUAGGGGAAAUCGCGGAAGAGCUAGGUUGAAUCAAUCCGAAAACUUUGCAGGUUCGGGUGUUGACUGUUCAUUCAGUUCUCAUAUUAUGAACAGAGCAUCUGAAGGGGGUAAUUUGCCUCACUGGCUUAAAGAAGUGGUUGCUAUCCCACCGAGGCCUCCUGGAUUUCCCCCAGAUUCUUCAUGGAUUUUCCAUCCGUGGGUUGGUCUACCCUUUCCCGAACCUGACAAAGCAAAUUGUGAAUCAAGGAACAUAUUAAGUGACUUGUGCACUUCACCAAGAGCUGAGCUGAAUAAUGGCAGUUCUGAUCAUGCUCAUCUACCAGCAGUGCCUAUGAGAGAGGGGAAGCAACAUUGUAUGUCAGAGGCGAAUAAAAGGGUUGAGCUAAUUGUCAUCAAUAGCGACGCCUCAUCUGAGGAAACAAUAUCGGAUGAUUGUAAUGUAAGGUGUUAGCUUAAGUUGGGAUUUUAGAGUUUAACUAUGGUUAAGCGUGUAUAAAAGGUUGGUAAUCCGAUUAACUCGGCUAUUUUUGAGAGCGAGGUUAACUGAAAUCAAGUAGGUUUUUGCCAAUUAUUACAAUCAGUUGAUUUGCAUAUUCUCAUUUUAGUUAUUUGCAAUAGCUGUAUGUUGUGAACUCAUCCGUUCCCAUUGAGUUUUUAAAUUAGGAUUUGGAUCAAAACCAAGCAAAUCCAAAUGUCAUCAAGAAUGGUAAAAGCUAUUCCCUUGCAAAAUGUGUAAGAAAUCCUUGAUAAUACGGGCUUAUGAGACUGGCUCCUAUUGAAGAUUCUUUCCGUUCCUAGUUCUCCACAAAUGAGAUGGAACUGAUCACAGACUACAGUUUACACUCUGUUUGGAUCAUUGUUAUCCAUUGUUUCAUAAUAUAUUGUAUUAUAUCGUAUCUUAUUGUAUUGUAUCGUUUUAUGAAUACAAUGUUUGGAUAGAUUGUCUUGUUUACUGUUGUUAAAUAACAUUUUGCUGUUUGGUUUGACUAUAUCGUAUACCAAAAUAAGUAUACCAAAAUAUCCUCAGUUAUUUUAAAUAUUAAAUUUAUCAAGAAUUAUGGAUAAAAAUAAUUCAAGAAAAUCCCUUUCUACUAAAAUAAAAAAUUAACUAUCAUUAGAAAACAAAUAAUAAUGAACGAUGAUAGAGAAACAAACGAAGACCGUGCAGUUGGCAAAACAAAAGAACGAAUAUAAAUAAGUAAUACUUUGCACACUUGAAAACAACCAAUAGUAUACAGCUAAUUGGAGAUUAAAGUAAUUAGAAUUGGAGUUAAAAUCAAAGUAGGAGAAAAAAAGAAGACAAAACCUAUUCUUACUACCUUUGACGUUGGAGUUGGGAAUAGUAAGCGGCAGAAGGAAAAACAUAGGAUGAAGAUAAAGUAGGUUAAAGGUUGGAGAUUUGGAGUUAAAAAAAAGAAGGUAAAGGGUAAUAUAUAAUUUUAAAAGUAAUAAGUUAGGACAUAAUUGAAAGAAAAAUAUGAAACAAUUCCACCGCACCAAAUCGGUUGUUUCAAAAUAUAAGAGACUUUUCAUUGUUUCAAAACAAUAAAUUUAAUAAUACGAUAUAACCAAUUUUAACAAAACAAUCAAAACAAAUAUUAUUUUGGGAUAAUAAUACAAUACGAUAAAAUGGGUAACAACCAUCUGAACAAGCUGUCACUCAACAUUUCAGUGAUGAAAUAAUGGGUAACAUGUUUUGUCCCCUUGACAAGGAAUUUCCAUUUUUUUCAUUUUAGUUUGAUACAUAAUAAUGUUUACAUAUAUGAACAAAUCUGCUCUUUUUCAAAUUUUUUUUGUUUAAUCUUCUGGUAUCAAAAUUUUAAUAGUCUCACCACUGUGAAUACCUGCGGCGUAGACACACUAAUAGGUAUUCAUCAUUAUUUCAUCGACAAGUUAUUUAUUCAUAUAUAUAUAUAUAUAUAAUUAUAAUACUGCAGAAACUAAGUUCAACAUGCUUUCUUUUAAAUUAUAUUGACGGCUAUAAUUACGUAUUUUAAUCGAUUAUUACAUUCCAAUUUACUGCACUAUAAUUGAGUUUGAGCUUUAAUCGCUAAUGUUUUGCACUAAGUGUGUGUUUUAUGCCUUGUAGGAGUGAUUCCGAGCUAUGUAAAUGUUAUGGAAUGAAUUCAAGUGAUUUGAAGCUUUGAAGUCUGAGUAAAAGCCCAAGAAAUUAAGCCAGGAUCGUGUUCGGGGAUCAACGGAUAAUACAACAACGAAACGACGAAUCGAGUAGGCAUAUUGCACACUGUCUAGUAAAAUGUACAUAACGUUUCUCUGAGAACUCCAUUCCGGCUCCACAAUAUAUGGUUCAAAAGCUAACUCAAAGGGAUACAACUUUCAUGUUUUACGUUUUUCCAAAUUCCAAACAUAACAGGGUGAAACGUGCGUGUCAAGUACGCGGCCGCGCAUUGACCGCUCAAAUAGGGCAGAACACUGGUCAAUAUGCGCGGCCCAUCCGCGGUUGAUCCGCGGCCGCGCACGUCAUGUCCGGGAAAAGUGUCUUUUUUUGCGUAGGAGAAGGUAUAAUUGUUUGGGCCCGACCCUACUUGGUAUAUAUACAUGGAAAGAUGGUAUUUUGAGGACUUUUGACAUAAUUUAGACCUAAGGAGGCUAAGGAGAUCGUAGAUUCGACCUAAGGAGGCAAAGACACACUAGGAGCAAGGCAGUGAAUUCUUCUACGAGUUUUUCACUUCCUUCUUCCUAUUUUCACUAUUGGUUAUGAAUUCUAGUAUUGUGGUUAUGCAUACUAUUAAGAAUAGCUAAUUUGUUAUCUAGGGUUUUGAUGGAACCUCUUGAAUGAUGAUUUUCCUGUUAUGUUAAUAUAGAUUUGACGUAGUUUUUCUCUAUUUGUUCAACUACGUUUAUAUUGUGGUUGGUUGAAGAGCUCUCAAUCGACUGUACCUGUUUAGUGUGUAUUACUCGGGAGAGAGUGCAUAUUUAGGUAGUUGUUGAACAACAUCACUCCUAACGUAUAUGAGGGAUCAAUACAGAGGGUUUAAAUGUAGGAUUAGGGAUAACGAAACCUUGGUGCGAUUUGAGUGAGCCGUACUUAAUGCCAGCUAGCGUAAUUCGGGAGAAUAUGUCUAGUAAAUUGUGAUAAUUACUCGGGAGAGAGUUACGACAUUCAGAGUGCUCAUGGUCGAUAGAGAAAACUUAGGCAAAUUUAUAGAAAACGUAGCGGAAAGGAUUCCGACAAUAGGGGAAAUCAUAACUCUAGACCUCCUUAAUCUUGUUUCUAAUCCUUAUCCUUGUUAGUUGAUAGUUUUACUGCUUUCUAGUAUGUGUUAGUUGAUUAGAUAAAAAUAAAUAUUAUAAUCUUUAUAGUUAGAAAAUUGUUUGGACUUGUGUUUUUUAGAAAUAUUGAAAAGUUGUAGCUAAACCAUAGUUCUCUGUGGGAUUCGACUCCGGACUUAUAAAUCAGAUUAUAUUUGUAACGACCGCUUAGUCCUUUUAUAAGUCAUAGUUGGGCGUGAUCAAAAUUUGGCGCCGUUGCCGGGGAACUAACGGUGUAGUUGUAGCUGUAUAUAUUGCUAGAUUUCGAGUUUGAACUUUUUUUUUUUUGGUUUGUUUUGUUUGUUUUUGUAUUUGUAUUUUUAUUUUAUUAUAACUGUUGAUUUGAGAUACAUGACAUCUUGGAAUUAUGGGAAUUUAGGUGUAGAUAAUUCUACUAUUGAUCCUCAUACAUAUUGUGAAGGAAACAACCCAUAUCAAAAUUAUCAAAAUAUUUCUGAGAGCGAGUUAUGUGCACCAACUCAAUCUUAUUUGUGGAAUGUGUGUGAUGUGUGUGGUGGUAAAAAUAGUCACUUUCAUGGUUGUGCUUAUAUUUCUUAUCUUCCCCCAAUGCUUUACUUUGAUGGUUCUUCCUUUUCUUGUGAAGUUAAUAGGAACAAAGAAUUUGGGGACACGGACCUAAAGGAGAUCAAGGAUAUGUUAAAGUGCCUUAUGGAACAAAAUAAUGAGAAAUAAUUGCAGAUAGAAAGGCAAGAGGCAACUAUUCGCAACUUGAAGGCUCAAGUGAGUUAAGUGGUUGGAGCUUUUAAUGCUCAACAAGCCAAUUUUAGGGAUACAAGCCAAGAAGAGCGUGAAUUUGAGGUGCUAAUUGAGGAGGUCAGAGUAGAACAUCAACAAACUAGCCAACUAUAAUUUGAGGAUGUCAAUGUUGUAGAAGUGAGACUAUAGCCAGCCAAGGACAUUGAGGAUAUAAAUUUUAUUGACUCUAGUAUCAUUGAUGUUGAGGAUGCAGAAAGUCCUGAAGUUCAUGUGUGUGAGCGCAUUGGUCCUCACUCGAAACAUUUUUCUACAUUGUGCUUGGAUAACGAUAUGAAAAUAGGGUCAUCCGAGCCAAUUGAGAAGUCAAGGAAUGAGGAACAAGGUGCCUACAUUCUGGAAAUUUUUUUGCUAGAAAUACAAGACUACAUACCUCAUCUAAAAGUCAAGAAGUGUAGAAUAGUACAAUGGUUGCUUGGGCCAAUUAGUUUUGUUCCUCCACCCCUGGAGCAUAGCCGAAAACUUGAUGCCAAAUUAGGGGUUCAAUUCAUAAGCUCGAGAUGGAGGCAAAAAGUGAUUCGCAUCGUGCCGCGACGUUAAAUCAAGCGUUUGUUGGGAGGCAACCCAGCUUUCCUUUUUUUUUUAAUUUUUUUUUUAAUUAUUGUAUCAUUUUCGUAGUGUCGAUUUUUGAUUUUCUAGGAGCAUGGCAAACAAAGAUAUUGGAAGGAUGCAACAACAAACCAGAUGGUUGGAACUAAGUGUGAGGUACCCGCACGAAGGACCAAGCCUGGAAGAAGUCUGAGUACCCCAUGAGCUGCUAGUUCUUUGGUCUUUGGCUUACUAGGGAGUUUCUUUUACCCUCUUAUUAGUAUAUUGUGCAUUGGGGACAAUACACGAUUUUAAGUGUGGGGUGAGGAGAUUGUCUGGGUGACUUCCUAUGCUAUUUUAGUUGUAUUAGUUUAAUUGAAUAAUUUUUUUUUUUAGAAAAAUGAAAAAAAGAUUGGACUUUUUCCGACGAUGGAUAUCCUAGACAAUUUUCUUGAGGGAUUUAAAUCUAACGAAAAUAAAAGAUUUUCUUUGUAGGUAGUGUAGUAACUCCCCUUGAUUUUCUUGUGCCGCGAUUCUUUUCCAAGGGUUUUGUUUGAACCAGGUGUAGUUAGUUUUUUUAGGGAGUAGGAGCUAGCGUGAUAUGAAUUGAAUCGCAACGAUAUCUAUUGAUUUUGUUAUGUGAGUACUUUGGUUGUGACGCUUAUGCUCAGUUUUUGACUCUUGUAUAAGUACCUUAAAUCGUAUGAUCUUGAAUUUACUUAACUACUUUGACUAGAGUGUCUUGAUGAGUCUAAUCCUGAGUGAGUUAUGUGACAUGUGUGUUUAAGCUUUUGUGUUAUUCUGUGCGUGCAUUUGAUGUCUAGAACUUGACCCGUGUGUUUGCAAAGAAAAAUAGUAGUUUUGUUCAGUCUUGGAAGUGAUAUAGGUGUUUUUUUGUUAAGCCAGAUAUAUAUAUUUUACCCGCCUAAUUGUUAUGUAUCGUAAUUAACCUUUUGAGCCUGUAAUCCUAUUUCUUUGGCAACCACAUUACAAGCCUUACCCAUUUGUUUGAAUUAACCAUCUAUUUAAACCUUUUAACCUCUCAUGAGCACUUGAAUAGUUAUGAACUUUGUAAAAGUUAAAGUAUGAGGUGGUUGGGUUGGAUUUUGAGUGGAACUAAUAAAAUAAGGAGAAGGGUGCAUUAUUUUGCAAAAUUAAGAGCCACUUGAUUUGAAAAAAAAAGAAGAAAAAAAAAGAGUUGUAUUGUUCUGAAGAAUAUUCCUUGAUGGUGGCGGAGUUUGAUGUAAUUGUGCAUAAAGAAGUCUGGGGUAAUAUACAUUGAGGUGAAGGUAGAGUUUUNNNNNNNNNNNNNNNNNNNNNNNNNAUAUGCGCGGCCCAUCCGCGGCCGCGCACGUGCUGUCCGGGAAAAGUGUCCUUUUUCGCGUAGGAGAAGGUAUAAUUGUUUGGGCCCGACCCUACUUGGUAUAUAUACAUGGAAAGAUGGUAUUUUUAGGACUUUUGACAUAAUUUAGACCUUAGGAGGCUAAGGAGAUCAGAGAUUUGACCUAAGGAGGCAAAAACACGCUAGGAGCAAGGCGGAGAAUUCUUCUACGAGUUUUUCACUUCCUUCUUCUUAUUUUUACUAUUGGUUAUGAAUUCUAGUAUUGUUGUUAUGCAUACUAGUGUGAAUAACUAAUUUGUUAUAUAGGGUUUUGAUGGAACCUCUUGAAAGAUAAUUUUCCUGUUACGUUAAUAUAGAUUUUCCGUAGUUUUUCUCUAUUUGUUCAACAACGUUUAUAUUGUGAUUGGUUGAAGAGCUCUCAAUCGACUGUACCUAUUUAGUGUGUAUUACUCGGGAGAUAGUGCAUAUUUAGGUAGUUGUUGAACAACAUCACUCCUAACGUAUAUGAGGGAUCAAUACGGAGGGUUUAAAUGUAGGAUUAGGGAUAACGAAACCUUGGUGCGAUCUGAUUGAGCCGUAUUUAAUGCCAGCUAGCGUAAUUUGGGAGAAUAUGUCUAGUAAAUUGUGAUAAUUACUCGGGAGAGAGUUACGACGGUCAGAGCUCUCAUGAUUGAUACAGAAAACUUAGGCAAAUUUAUAGAAAACGUAGCGGAAAGGAUUCCGACAAUAGGGGAAAUCAUAACUCUAGACCUCCUUAAUCUUGUCUAUAAUCCUUAUCCUUGUUAGUUGAUAGUUUUACUGCUUUCUAGUAUGUGUUAGUUAACUAGAUAAAAAUAAAUAUUAUAAUCUUUAUAGUUAGGAAAUUAUUUCGACUUGUGUUUCUUAGAAAUAUUGAACAGUUGUAGCUAAGCCUUAGUUCUCUGUGGGAUUCGACUUCGGACUUGUAAACCAAAUUAUAUUUAUAACGACCGCUUAGUCCUUUUUAUAAGGCAUAGUUGGGCGUGAUCAAAUUUUGGCACCGUUACCGGGGAACUAACGGUGUAGUUGUAGUUGUAGUUGUAUAUAUUGCUAGGUUUCGAGUUUGAGCUUUUAUUUUAUUUUGAUUUGUUUUUGUAUUUUUAUUUUAUUAUAACUGUUGAUUUGAGGUACAUGACAUCUUGGAAUUAUGGGAAUUUAGGUGUUGAUAAUUCUACUAUUGAUCCUCAUACAUAUUGUGAAGGAAACCACCCGUAUCAAAAUUAUCAAAAUAUUUCCAAGAGAGAAUUAUGUGCACCAACUCAAUCUUAUUUGUGGAAUGUGUGUGAUGGUAAAAAUGGUCACUUUCAUGGUUGUGCUUAUAUUUAUUAUCUUCCCCCAACCCUUUACUUUGAUGGUUCUUCUUUUUCUUGUGAAGUUAAUAGGAACAAAGAACUUGGGGACGCGGACCUGAAGGAGAUCAAGGAUAUGUUAAAGUACCUUCUGGAAUAAAAUAAUGAGAAACAAUUGCAAAUAGAAAGGCAAGAGGCAAUUAUUUGCAACUUGAAGGCUCAAGUGAGUUUAGUGGUUGGAGCUUUUAAUGCUCAACAAGCCAAUUUUAGGGAUACAAGCCAAGAAGAGCGUGAAUUUGAGGUGCUAAUUGAGGAGGUCAGAGUAGAACAUCAACAAACUAGCCAACUACAAUUUGAGGAUGUCAAUGUUGUAGAAGUGAGACUAUAGUCAGCCAAGGACAUUGAGGAUAUAAAUUUUAUUUACUCUAGUAUCAUUGAUGUUGAGGAUGCAGAAAGUCCUGAAGUUCAUGUGUGUGAGCGCAUUGUUCCUCACUCCAAACAUUUUUCUACAUUGUGCUUGGAUGGCGAUAUGGAAAUAGGGUCAUCCGAGCCAAUUGAGAAGUCAAGGAAUGAGGAACAAUGUGCCUACAUUCUGGAAUUUUUCUUGCUAGAAAGACAGGACUACAUACCUCAUCUAAAAGUCAAGAAGUGUAGAAUAAUAAAAUGGUUGCUUGGGCCAAUUAGAUUUGUUCCUCCACCCCUGAGGCAUAGCCGAAAACUUGAUGCCAAAUUGGGGGUUCAAUUCAUAAGCUCUAGGUGGAGUCAAAAAGUGAUUCGCGUCGUGCCGCGACGUUAAAUCAAGCGCUUGUUGGGAGGCAACCCAGCUUUACAAUUUUUUUUUAUUUUUUUUAAUUAUUGUAUCAUUUUUGUAGUAUCGAUUUUUGAUUUUCUAGAAGCAUGGAAAAGAAAGAUAUAGGAAGGUUGCAACAACAAACCAGAUGGUUGGAAUUAAGUGUGAGGUACCCGCACGAAGGACCAAGCCUAGGAGAAGUCUGAGUACCCCAUGAGCUGCUAGUGCUUCGGCCUUUGGCCUACCAGGGAAUUUCUUUUACCAUCUUAUUAGUAUGUUGUGCAUUGGAGACAAUGCACAAUUUUAAGUGUGGGAUGAGGAGAUUGUCUGGGUGACUUUCUAUGCUAUUUUAGUUGUAUUAGUUUAAUUGAAUAAUUUUUCUUAGAAAAAUGAAAAAAAGAUUGGACUUUUUCCGAUGAUGGAUAUCCUAGACAAUUUUCUUGAGGGAUUUAAAUCUAACGAAAAUAAAAGAUUUUCUUUAUAGGUAGUGUAGUAACUCCCCUUGAUUUUCUUGUGCCGCGAUUCUUUUCCAAGGGUUUUGUUUGAACCGGGUGUAGUUAGUUUUUUUAGGGAGUAGGAGCUAGCGUGAGAUGAAUUGAAUCGUAACGAUAUCACUUGAUUUUGUUAUGCCUUGAGAAUAUUGAGUACUUUGGUUGUGACGCUUAUGCUCAGUUUUUGACUCUUGUAUAAGUACCUUAAAUCGUAUGAUCUUAAAUUUGCUUAACUACUUUGACUAGAGUGUCUUGAUGAGUCUAAUCCUGAGUGAGUUAUGUGCCAUGUGUGUUUAAGCUUUUGUGUUAUUCUGUGCGUUCAUUUGAUGUCUAGAACUUGCCCCGUGUGUUUGCAAAGCGAAAUAGUAGUUUUGUUCAGUCUUGGAAGUGAUAUAGGUGUUUCUUUGUUGAGCUAUAUAUAUAUUACCCGCUUAAUUGUUAUGUAUCGUAAUUAACCCUUUGAGCGUGUAAUCCUGUUUCUUUGGCAACCACAUUACAAGACUUACCUUAUUUGUUUGAAUUAACCAUCUAUUUAAAUCUUUUAACCUCUCAUGAACACUUGAAUAGUUAUGAACUUUGUAAAAGUUAAAGUAUGAGGUGGUUGGUUUGGAUUUUGAGUGGAACUAAUAAAAUAAGGAGAAUGGUGCAUUAUUUUGCAAAAUUAAAAGCCACUUGAUUUGAAAAAAAAAAUAAAAAAAAAGAGUUGUAUUGUUCUGAAGAAUAUUCCUUGAUGUUGGCGACAUUUAAUGUAAUUGUGCUUAAAGAAGUCUGGGGUAAUAUACAUUGAGGUGAAUGUAGAGUUUUGGUUUGACAUAAGUAUGGGCUUGAAUGUUAAAGUAUAUGUAUUAAAGUGCUUAGGGAGGUGUAAUCACUCUUAUAUCUAAAUGCAUCCUACCCCCUACAACCUAUAUUACAACCUGUUAAAGUCCUACUUGAUCCUAAACUAAAUGUGUUCGAUUAGUAGAGUAGUACAUUAUAUGCAAGACUAUGGUGCAUCUUUUGCGGCAUAUGAAUGUUAUUUCUGAGAGUGAGUGAAUUCUUUCUAUNNNNNNNNNNNNNNNNNNNNNNNNNNNNNNNNNNNNNNNNNNNNNNNNNNNNNNNNNNNNNNNNNNNNNNNNNNNNNNNNNNNNNNNNNNNNNNNNNNNNNNNNNNNNNNNNNNNNNNNNNNNNNNNNNNNNNNNNNNNNNNNNNNNNNNNNNNNNNNNNNNNNNNNNNNNNNNNNNNNNNNNNNNNNNNNNNNNNNNNNNNNNNNNNNNNNNNNNNNNNNNNNNNNNNNNNNNNNNNNNNNNNNNNNNNNNNNNNNNNNNNNNNNNNNNNNNNNNNNNNNNNNNNNNNNNNNNNNNNNNNNNNNNNNNNNNNNNNNNNNNNNNNNNNNNNNNNNNNNNNNNNNNNNNNNNNNNNNNNNNNNNNNNNNNNNNNNNNNNNNNNNNNNNNNNNNNNNNNNNNNNNNNNNNNNNNNNNNNNNNNNNNNNNNNNNNNNNNNNNNNNNNNNNNNNNNNNNNNNNNNNNNNNNNNNNNNNNNNNNNNNNNNNNNNNNNNNNAAAGGUAAUGUCAGUGACCUCUAUGUUAGAUUAAGUGGGUGAAUUGUGAAUAAUGCGUGGUACUUGUAAGUCAAAUCUUGAGGUGAAGAUGUUACACUUUUGUGCUUAUUCUAUUUUAAAUAUUCUUGGUGUGAUGAGUUAUGAGAAUUGUUUAAAAAGGUCGUGUUUAUAUAAAGUGUAAUUUGAUUGCUCGAGGACAAGCAAUAGUUUAAGUGUGGGGUGUUGAUAAUAGGUUAUAAUUACGUAUUUUAAUCGAUUAUUACAUUCUAAUUUACUGCACUUUAAUAGAGUUUGAGCUUUAAUCGCUAGUGUUUUGCACUAAUUGUGUGUUUUAUGCCUUGUAGGAGUGAUUUCGAGCUAUGUAAAUGUUAUGGAAUGAAUUCAAGUGAUUUAGAGCUUUGAAGUCUAAGUAAAAGACCAAAGAAUUAAGCCGGGAUCAUAUUCGAGGAUCAACGGAUGAUAGAGCAAUGAAACGACGAAUCGAGUAGGCAUAUUGCGCACUGUCUAGUAAAAUGCACUUAACUUUUCGCUGAGAACUUCAUUUAGGCUCCACAAUAUAUGAUUGAAAAGCUAACUCAAAGGCUUUAACUUUCAUGAUUUUUGUUUUUCCAAAUUCCAAACAGAAAAGGGUGAAACGUGCACAUCAAUUACGCGGCCACACAAAUGGGGCAGAACACUGGUCAAUAUGCGCGACCCAUCCGCGGUUGAUCCGCGGCCGCACACGUCCUGUCCGGAAAAAAUAUCCUUUUUCGCUUAGGAGAAGGUAUAAUUAUUUGGACCCUACCCUACUUGGUAUAUAUACAUGGAAAGACUGUAUUUUGAGGACUUUUGAGAUAAUUUAAACCUAAGGAGGCUAAGGAGAUCGGGGAUUCGACCUAAGGAGGCUAGAACAUACUAGGAGCAAGACGGAGCAUUCUUCUACGAGUUUUUCACUUCUUUCUUCCUAUUUCCAAUAUUGGUUAUGAAUUUUAGUAUUGUAAUUAUGCAUACUAUUAUGAAUAGCUAAUUUGUUAUCUAGGGUUGUGAUAGAACCUCUUGAAGGAUGAUUUUCCUGUUACGUUAAUAUAGAUUUUUCGUAGUUUUUCUCUAUUUGUUCAACUACGUUUAUAUUGUGGUUGGUUGAAGAGCUCUCAAUCAAGUGUGCCUAUUUAGUAUGUAUUACUCAGGAGAGAGUGUAUAUUUAGGUAGUUGUUGAACAACAUCACCUUAACGUAUAUGAUGGAUCAAUACAGAGAGUUUAAAGGUGGGAUUAGGGAUAACGAAACCUUGGUGCGAUCUGAGUGAGCCAUACUUAAUGACAGCUAGUGUAAUUUGGGAUAAUAUGUCUAGUAAAUUGUGAUAAUUACUCGGAAGAGAGUUACGACAGUUAGAGCGAUCAUGAUCGAUAGAGAAAACUUAGGCAAAUUUAUAAAAAAACGUAGCAAAAAGGAUUCCGAUAAUAGAGGAAAUCAUAACUCUAGACCUUCUUAAUCUUGUCUCUAUUCCUUAUCCUUGUUAGUUGAUAGUUUUACUGCUUUCUAGUAUGUGUUAGUUAAUUAGAUAAAAAUAAAUAUAAUCUUUAUAGUUAGAAAAUUGUUUGGACUUGUGUUUCUUAGCAAUAUUGAACAGUUGUAGCUAAGCCUUAAUUUCUUGUGGGAUUCGACUCCGGACUUGUAAACCAGAUUAUAUUUGCAACGACCGUUUAAGGUAGAAGGUUAGGGUAGAAGGUUACCUUUCUCAAACCCCACUCGUGAGAAACUACUGAGUUUGUUGUUGUUGUUGGAAUGUUUUAUUUGGUAGUGCAAGAUUAGCCGGUAUUCUGCUUAUGGUAUAAAAGAAGCUUAGAAUCAAGACAUAUAGAACUGUGUCUCCUGAUUUGUUAAUACCAAUUUUAAGAGGUUUCCUUUCCCUUUUCCUUGUAAAAUUUGAUAGAAAUGUUAGUUUCACUUGUAAUAAGUUAGUUUCUGUUAUUUUGCAGCAAAGCAAGUCCUUCUCUUUGGGCUCAAAGAAGAGCUGAAAUUUUCUUCCAUUGCUCUGCCAAAUAUUACAGUCCCAUUCUUCUGCAAAUUGUUUGGUCAGUGGAUACGAUAAUACUUCAUGGGAGGUAUAAUUAGCAAAUUGAGCAUAUUAUAUUCCUCUACAUUAACAUAUGCUUUUGUACAGUUUGGGGUGAAAAAGUUUGCUUUACUUUGACAAGUGAAUUUUUGCAAAACUUUUAUAUUUAUAUUGAGCUACUGAAAUACUAGAAAAGAAGGCAUUUGGUUAAUGUUCAGUCGGCAGGUUGUUGUGUAUUUUGAGUUGCUUAAAUAAGACGAUAUCGUCAUAAACUUGAUACAUAGAUAGUCUUGGUAACAUUUGUGAGAAUUGCACUUUGAACAUAAUUGAAUGAAAACGACUUUAAGGUUUUUGGGAUGGAGGACAAGUCUAAUGGUAGCUACAAAAAGUAAAUAGAUAACGAAAGAUUCCAAGUUCUAUUCACCUUUUUAGGACUUGUAUUGAUUGAAAAUGCCAAAUAUCCAUAAACUUAUGGUGAUACCAAAAAUAUAAAUAAGUGUUAAAGAAUGAAUGUAGACAUAAAGAAUGAAUGUAGCCAGAUUACUUGUACUAUACAUAGAUAGAAUAAGUAUUGAGAUUUGAUAGCAGAUUUUUAGAAUUUUCCUUUUACUUCUUUCCAUAGCUAGGAUCCUAUGUACAUGUAUAUAUAUGUAUCACUUCGUGGAAUAAGAUACCAACUUUGAUUCUUCCAUACCUUGUUUGUCACAUGGUAUCAGAGCCGGUGUUAAGUUUGAAAUCCGGCCGAGAAAUAAACAGUCUCACUGGAACUUGACCGGUUUUAGGAGAAUCAUUUGGCCUGGCGAAGUAACUCUCACCAUCAAUCCUUUUGAUAUACAUGUUUCCAGAAUCUGGUGGUCAGAUUCAUUGUUUGUGAAGCCCACGCACCGGCGGAGGAAUUCUGACAUAAUCUGCCUCGACGGCGCGUGAGGGUGCGUGAGAGAUCGGUUGGAGACUUGGUUCACUGUUCCUAGGUCACGUCAUUAUUUUCAGCGUGUGUCGGGUGGUUUAUACUCGAAAUGACCACAAUUUGAUAAGGCUUUCUUGCUCCCAGAAGUGCUGCUCAUUAACAGUCUUAUUUGAAAGUCCUAGGUUACUAAUUUCCAUCUAAACUUUGUUUCUUCCAUCUUGAUUUGCUCCUUCGUAGCUACCUACCUAUUUGGAAUCUGAAGAUAAUCUAGUAUUUCUGAGUUCUUUUAGUGGUGGAAUAUACUUCAUUAUUCUUGGUUAUAUUUUUUGGUGGAGUAUAUUACUGGUUUGUGUGAUUAGUUGGUGCAUCAUUGGUUCUUUGGUUCAGUCAUAUUUGUGGUAGAGUAUAUCUUUAUUGGCUAUCUGCUUGGAACUUAUUUAAUCUCUUCUUGAAUAUAUUUCGUGAGUUUUAUUAGAAUGACUAUAUACAGUAAGCAAGGAGGAAAUAACGCUACAACUCCUAGUCCAACAAUCUUGGUCUCAGAUGAGUUUCUUGAGUUCCUUCAAUAUCAUAAAUCAAUAAGGGAAUCUUCUUCAGUUACUGCUUUUGCUGGGUCAGAUAAUACAUGUCUUAUCACCUCUUCAAAUAAAUGAGUGAUUGAUUCUGAUGCCACAAAUCACAUGACAGGUAAUCCGAAUGUUUUUUCUAGCUUUAGAUCACACAAAGCACCCUCUUCAGUUACUGUAGCUGAUGGAAGAACUUGUAGCAGUGUUGGAUCUGGGACUGUUAAACCAACUUCCUCUAUUACCUUCAUCUGUAUUAAAUCUACCAAACUUGGCCUUUAAUUUGAUUUUGUUAGUAAAAUCACUAGAGACCUUAAUUGUUGUGUAGCGUUCUUUCCCAAUCAUUGUUUGUUUCUAGAUCUUAUGACGAAACAGAUUAUUGGUAAAGGAUAUUUAUCUGGUGAGCUCUAUAUCCUUGAUGAAUGGGAGCCACAGUCUAUUGCAUGCUCUAGUAUCGUGUCUUCUUUUGAAGCACAUUGUCGAUUGGGGCAUCCUCUCUACCUUUGUUGAAGAAGCUCUGUCCUCAGUUUCAGAAUAUUUCUUCAUUGGAUUAUGAGUCAUGUCGAUUUGCAAAACAUCAUCGCAUCUCGUUAGGUCCAAGGGUUAAUAUGCGAGCUGAGUCAGCUUUUGAGUUAGUUCAUUCUGAUGUUUGGGGACCAUGUCCUGUUGUUUCUAAAACUGGGCAUAAGUAUUUUGUCACUUUUGUAGAUAAUUUUUCCUGGAUGACUUGGAUUUACUUUAUGAAGAGUCGCUCUGAAGUGUUUACUCACUUUUCUGUCUUCUGUGCUGAAGUCAAAACUCAAUUCAAUGCUUCAGUGCGUAUUCUAAGGAGUGAUAACGCUAAAGAAUACAUGUCAGAGUUAUUUCAGUCCUACAUGAGACAACAUGGUAUACUACAUCAGUCUUCAUGUGUUGAUACACCCUCUCAAAAUGGAGUUGCUGAGAGGACGAAUAGACAUCUACUUGAGACAGCUCGGGCACUUUUGUUCCAAGUGAAGGUUCCUAAACAGUUCUGGGCUGAUGCGGUCUCCACGGCUUGCUUUUUGAUUAAUCACAUGCCAUCUACUAUUCUUGGUGGCAAUAUGCCUUACAAUGUUCUUUUUCCAAACAAGUUAUUAUUUAUCGUGGAACCUAAGGUGUUUGGAAGAACAUGUUAUGUUCGAGAUGUUCGACCAUCUGUUGCCAAGCUGGAUCCCAAGGCAUUGAAGUGUGUUUUUCUUGGUUAUUCUCGCCUUCAGAAGGGGUAUCAUGUUAUUCUAAUGAACUUGGCAAAUAUCUGGUGUCAACUGAUGUAGUGUUUUCAGAGACUAUACCAUUCUUUUAUGCACCUCCCAUCUCUACAAGUCAGGGGGAGGAAGAUGAGUGGCUAGUAUAUUAGGUUACCCGUACUUUAACAGAACAAUCAGAUGAUGUUUCUCUAUCUCCUAACUCUUCUAUCGAGCACCAAUCGACUAUUCUGCCUUCAGCACCUGCUCCAACUGUGUUAGCAAGAACACCAAUUGUUCAAGUUUACUCGCGGAGGCGAGAAACAAAUGAUACAUGUCCUGCAUCAGUUCCUUCGUCAUCUGAUCCUCUUCCGCCUGAUCCUCCAUAAGGCCUUGACCUUUCCAUUGCUUUACGCAAAGGUACACGUACUUGCAAAUCCAUAUAUUCUAUUGCUAAUUUUGUUUCCUACGAUCACUUAUCCCCUGCGUCUAGAUCUUUGAUUGUGUCUCUAGACUUCAUUUCUAUACCCAAAAUAGUGAAAGAGGCUUUGAAUCAUCCUGGAUGGUCUGAAGCCAUGCUUGAGGAAAUACAUGCCUUAGAGGAAAACCAUACUUGGGAUUUAGUGAAUUUACCUAGUGGAAAAAAAGCAGUGGGAUGCAAAUGGGUCUUCACGGUCAAAGUUAAUCCAGAUGGUUCUGUAGCGAGACUUAAGGCCAGACUUGUGGCUAAAGGGUAUGCUCAGGCUUAUGGAGUAGAUUAUUCUGACACCUUCUCUCUGGUUGCCAAACUUUCUUCUGUCCGCUUGUUCAUGUCUCUAGCAGCUUCUGAGAAUUGGCCUUUGCAUCAAUUGGACAUUAAUAAUGCCUUUUUUCAUGGUGAUCUUCAUGAAGAGGUGUAUAUGGAGCAACCACCUGGUUUUGUUGCUCAGGGGGAGUACGGGAAGGUCUGUCAUUUGAAGAAGUCCUUGUAUGGCUUGAAGCAGAGUCCCCGGGCUUGGUUUGGAAAACUUAGUGAGGUAGUUCAAGAAUUUGGGCUGAAAAAGAGCAAAUAUGAUCAUUCAGUUUUCUACAGGCAAUCAACAGCUGGAUCUAUUCUCCUAGUUGUAUAUGUUGAUGACAUUGUUAUUACCGGAAGUGAUUAUGAAGGAAUCUCUUCUCUCAGGUCUUUCUUGCAUACUAAGUUUCAUACGAAAAACUUGGGACAACUGAAAUAUUUCUUGGGAGUAGAAGUAAAUAGAUGCAAGAAGGGGAUUUUUCUAUCUCAGAGAAAGUAUAUUCUUGACUUACUGGCAGAAACUGGUAAGUUGGCUGCCAAGCCUUGCAGUACUCCAGUGGUUUCUAAUUUGCAUCUUAUGAAAGAUGAUGUCGAUCCAUUUAAUGAUCCAGGUAGAUACAGGAGGUUAGUUGGGAGAUUAAACUAUCUCACUGUGACUCGUCCAGAUAUUACUUUUGUUAUAAGUGUUGUUAGCCAGUAUAUGUCCGCUCUUACGGUCAAACAUUGGGCAGCACUGGAACAGAUUCUAUGUUACUUAAAAGGAUCCCCUAGACUUGGCAUAUUAUACAACAAUCGUGGGCAUUCUCAUAUUGAGUGUUUUGCACAUGCGGAUUGGGCUGGAUCCAAAAUUGAUAGAAGGUCUACUACCGGCUAUUGUGUCUUUUUGGGUGGAAACCUGGUAUCAUGGAGAAGUAAGAAACAAAAUAUUGUAUCUCGAUCCAGUGCUGAAUCCGAAUACAGGGCUAUGGCACAGACUACGUGUGAGGUUAUGUGGAUACAUCACCUUCUCACGGAAAUUGGGAUAAAGCAUACUACACCAGCAAACCUUUGGUGUGAUAAUCAAGCCGCUCUUCAUAUCGCCUCAAAUCCGGUGUAUCAUAAAAAGACAAAACAUAUUGAAGUUGACUGUCACUUUAUUCGUGAGAAGAUUCAGGAAAACUUGAUUUCUACUAGUUACGUGAAGACAGGAGAGCAAUUGGCUGAUGUAUUCACAAAGGCGUUAAAUGGAACUCGAGUUAAUUAUCUUUGCAACAAGCUGGGCAUGAUUAAUAUCUAUGCUCCAGUUUGAGGGGAGUGUUAAAGAAUGAAUGUAGACAUAAAGAAUGAAUGUAGACAGAUUACUUGUACUAUACAUAAAUAGAAUAAGUAUUGAGAUUUGAUAGCAGAUUUUUAGGAUUUUCCUUUUACUUCUUUCCAUAGUUAGGAUCUUAUGUACAUGUAUGUAUAUAUAUAUAUGUAUCACUUCAUGGAAUAAGAUACCAACUUUGAAUCUUCCAUACCUUGUUUGUCACAAUAAGAUACCUGCUGGAUUGUCCAUAAUUAUAAUUUAAAAGAGCUCACUGUGUAAUUGUGUACUCAUAUUCCGAAACCUCAGAUGAAGAAAGAUGCCAUGGUAACAUAAGUCCAUGUACUUUGAUGAUAAAGAGAUAUCAGGGUUUUAAUUUCUGAGGCAUGGUUUCAUGUUUUAAUUGCAAAUGGUGUCGGUGAUUUAAACCCUCACUUUCACCUUCUGAUUCCUCAUUGCUUGAAUAUGCACCAAAACUUACAUCUUUGGACUUUACGCUGCUUUGUUGCCUUAAACUGAAAGGAAUACUGU
rnacentral:lncRNA from 1 species